UCUCAUUCCAACCCAUGAAAAUAGUGUAAUGGUCAUGGGAUCUCCAACUGCAUGCGAGAGCAACCUGGAGAGACUUUGACAGCUCAGGUCAGCCCAAUACCUGUGGCUGCCACUCACCUUUCCUAUAAGG